GGUUAAGCGACUAAGCGUACACGGUGGAUGCCCUGGCAGUCAGAGGCGAUGAAGGACGUGCUAAUCUGCGAUAAGCGUCGGUAAGGUGAUAUGAACCGUUAUAACCGGCGAUUUCCGAAUGGGGAAACCCAGUGUGAUUCGUCACACUAUCAUUAACUGAAUCCAUAGGUUAAUGAGGCGAACCGGGGGAACUGAAACAUCUAAGUACCCCGAGGAAAAGAAAUCAACCGAGAUUCCCCCAGUAGCGGCGAGCGAACGGGGAGCAGCCCAGAGCCUGAAUCAGUGUGUGUGUUAGUGGAAGCGUCUGGAAAGGCGUGCGAUACAGGGUGACAGCCCCGUACACAAAAAUGCACAUGCUGUGAGCUCGAUGAGUAGGGCGGGACACGUGGUAUCCUGUCUGAAUAUGGGGGGACCAUCCUCCAAGGCUAAAUACUCCUGACUGACCGAUAGUGAACCAGUACCGUGAGGGAAAGGCGAAAAGAACCCCGGCGAGGGGAGUGAAAAAGAACCUGAAACCGUGUACGUACAAGCAGUGGGAGC
rnacentral:rRNA from 1 species